rnacentral:tRNA from 1 species
GGGCAGAGCGUCUGUCUAGUAAACAGAAGGUCGCUGGUUCGAUUCCAGCAUGAGGCA